GACACGACUCUCGGCAAUGGAUAUCUCGGCUCUCGCAUCGAUGAAAAGCGCAGCGAAAUGCGAUACUUGGUGUGAAU
rnacentral:rRNA from 1 species